rnacentral:lncRNA from 7 species
AUCGGUUCUUGCGAGGGAGGCAGCACGUGCGCGCCUUCUCAGUUUGUUCGGCGCCGUUAUGCUGUAGAGCGGCAGUUGUGGUCACGAGCGUGCAGUCGUGCGCGCCUGAGGAGGCUUGUGGUGAAGGCGAAGCGCUGUGUCUGCGCCCGCUGAGGUUAUUUCUGAGUUAUUCCACGCUUCACAACGUGUGCGCAGAGUUAAUUGCAGUAAAGGAAUGAGAGAAGAAAUAUAUGGAGUGACAAAAGUGAAGACUGUAAGGAGCUGCUUUGGAUCCAGCCAUCUUAUCUGAAACAGAGAAGAGAGUUGCUCUGUGAACAAAACUGAAGAGAGUAAUAGGAGCCCUUUUAGCUAUCUUCACCAUCAAAGUCACAGUUUAAGAUUAUCUUUAAGAAGAGGAGAUUCUACUGUGUGAUCUAUAUGCCUUACUAAAACAGUUGCAGUUUCAAAUGGUGCAUUGCCUUGAAAUACCAAAUGGACUAUAACCCUAAAUGGAUUUCAGUGAAAAUAACUUUUGCUGUGAAAUGUUCAUACAGCUAUAUCGCAUUCUGCUUCUUCUGUGAAAUCCAAGACAGAGUAUUUAAGGUGAGCUUGAUGUUAGAAGAAUAACAGCAGAGAAGGAUGUUUUGCAGUGCAGAAGACAUUAUAGCAAAGGGUAGGCAUGAGGUCAUCCUGUGGGGAAGGAAAUAAAGGUUCUCUGUAUCUUAAUAUCUGCUAUAAUGUGAUGUGCAUGCUAUUAUGUGAUGUGGUGAUGCCCACUGGCUGAUACCAGUUUUCUCAAAUACCUUGAUGAGAACAUAAUAUGCAUCUUUCAGCAGAUUUUGUACUAUCAGUGCAUGAUAGGGAUGUCCCCUCUCAUUCCUACUUUUCCUGUUAUGCUCUAAUCAUCAUUGGAUCCUUAAGGGUUACACAGAUGUGACUUCUGUCACAUAUAAACAUGCAACAGAAGGGUAAAUACAUAAACAGUAACAUGAUUUGGAAGUACCAUUAUAACAGGGCUGGAAACUGCCCCCAUGCCCAGAACUUUGCAUAGCUUAGCACUUUUUCUAUAGAAAAAGAGGUCAGAAAUGAUAGUGAGAGGAGAAAGUUGCACAUGUGCAGGGACAUAUCCCAGACUAGCACAGAUCAUAUCUAUUUAACUGCAGACCCUGGAGUUGUGUAGAUUUACCCUAGGUUCUAGCAAAGAUAAAGUUUCUAAGUGUCAGUGCAGAGGUUGAUCAGGCACAGUGGAUUUAGGAUGCUUCCUAUCCAGAACACUACAUUUGCACAUUGAAUUAACAAGCAAGACACGUCAGGGCAACUAAACAAACAUAAUAUGUGACCUGCUCCCUUUAACUGGUACUUCAGUGUGAUGAGCUCAUUAAGGGUAAAUCUUCUAACACUCAUUUCAUGUCAGCAGACGACUGGUUCAUGGUGCAUGCUGUCAUCUCAACAGGAGAUCAAGAGAUACUCAGCUCUGACAUGACCCAUUAUUGCUAAAUAGCAAAUUUGUGUAGUUAUGUGUGUUUCAUGAAAAUGCUUGGUGCACAUUAAAGGAAACCUUUUGAACC